GUCUCUGGAUUCGGCAUUCUUAAUCCAAAAAGGGCGCCGGGAACAGCGUGGCGUCAUGUGACAGCACCGGCAGGGAGGCAGGGUUCAGCGGGAUAACGCAUGUGGAAUAAAUCAGCCUGCCUGGCAGAAACGUUCACGAUGAGCACAAUCCUGGGAAUAAUCCAGUACAAGAUACAUAUACUGUUCACAACUAUGGGGAAUUUGGUAACUCUAAUUAACAUGAUUUUGGACUGUGAGGGGAAGCCAAAGAACCCAGUAGAAACACGAAUGACGACGACAACAACAUGCAAACUCCGCACAGCAGGAAAGGAGGGACUCGAACCCUAGUCCCCCACAUUGGAGGAGCAGAUCCCCCCUGCGAUGUCCCCCCCCCGCCUCGCCUCGCCGGUCCCACGCUGGCCGUUCUCUGCACCCGCUCAGCCUCCAAAUCCCCUGGGGGAGGCGGGGGCCCGUCGUCACCUUUCGAUCCAACAUAGGUGGUGCUCCCCCAACUCCCGGCCCCGUGCUGCAACUCCGGUCCCGUCAUCGACCUG